rnacentral:rRNA from 1 species
GAUGAACGCUGGCGGCGUGGAUUAGGCAUGCAAGUCGAACGAGAAAGUAGUCUUCGGAUUGCGAGUACAGUGGCGGACGGGUGAGUAGCGCGUGGGAAACCUACCCUCGAGUGGGGAAUAACAACCCUAACGGGUUGCUAAUACCGCAUAACAUUGCAGGCCGCAUGGUCUGCACUCAAAGGUGGCCUCUACUUGUAAGCUGUCGCUUGAGGAAGGUCCCGCGUCCCAUUAGCUAGUUGGUGAGGUAACGGCUCACCAAGGCCACGACGGGUAGCUGGUCUGAGAGGAUGAUCAGCCACACUGGAACUGACACACGGUCCAGACUCCUACGGGAGGCAG